rnacentral:rRNA from 1 species
AAGAGACAGCAGUAGCCGCGGUAAAACGGAGGGUGCAAGCGUUAAUCGGAAUUACUGGGCGUAAAGCGCACGCAGGCGGUCUGUCAAGUCAGAUGUGAAAUCCCCGGGCUUAACCUGGGAACUGCAUUUGAAACUGGCAGGCUAGAGUCUUGUAGAGGGGGGUAGAAUUCCAGGUGUAGCGGUGAAAUGCGUAGAGAUCUGGAGGAAUACCGGUGGCGAAGGCGGCCCCCUGGACAAAGACUGACGCUCAGGUGCGAAAGCGUGGGGAGCAAACAGGAUUAGAUACCCCAGUAGUCCCUGUCUCUUAUAC